rnacentral:tRNA from 1 species
GGACCCGUAGCUCAAAGGAAGAGCGCUCGGCCCAUAACCGAUCGGUUGCUGUGUCAGGAUCAGCCGGGUCCACCA